UACCAGACUCCUACGGGAGGCAGCAGUGGGGAAUAUUGGACAAUGGGGGGAACCCUGAUCCAGCGACGCCGCGUGAGUGAAGAAGUAUUUCGGUAUGUAAAGCUCUAUCAGCAGGGAAGAAAGAAAUGACGGUACCUGACUAAGAAGCCCCGGCUAACUACGUGCCAGCAGCCGCGGUAAUACGUAGGGGGCAAGCGUUAUCCGGAUUUACUGGGUGUAAAGGGAGCGUAGACGGCGAUGCAAGUCUGAAGUGAAAGGCGGGGGCCCAACCCCCGGACUGCUUUGGAAACUGUAUAGCUGGAGUGCAGGAGAGGUAAGUGGAAUUCCUAGUGUAGCGGUGAAAUGCGUAGAUAUUAGGAGGAACCCCAGUGGCGAAGGCGGCCUGCUGGACGACAACUGACGGUGAGGCGCGAAAGCGUGGGGAGCAAACAGGAUUAGAUCCCCCCGUA
rnacentral:rRNA from 1 species